rnacentral:rRNA from 1 species
CAGGACGAACGCUGGCGGCGUGCUUCAUACAUGCAAGUCGAACGAGAAUCUGGAGCUUGCUUCAGAGGAAAGUGGCGGACGGGUGAGUAAUAUGUAGAGAAUCUGCCCUUGAGCGGGGGACAACAGAGGGAAACUUCUGCUAAUACCCCAUAUGAGCUUAGUUGAAAUACUAAUCUUGAAAACUCCGGUGCUCAAGGAUGAGUCUGCAUCUGAUUAGCUUGUUGGCGGUGUAAUGGACCACCAAGGCGACGAUCAGUAGCUGGUUUGAGAGGAUGAUCAGCCACAAUGGGACUGAGACACGGCCCAUACUCCUACGGGAGGCAGCAGUAGGGAAUUUUGCGCAAUGGGCGAAAGCCCUGACGCAGCAACGCCGCGUGAACGAUUAAGCCCUUCGGGGUGUAAAGUUCUGUCAGUAGGGACGAAUUUUGACGGUACCUACAGAGGAAGCACCGGCUAACUCCGUGCCAGCCGCUGC